rnacentral:rRNA from 1 species
UUCUUGGUCAUUUAGAGGAAGUAAAAGUCGUAACAAGGUUUCCGUAGGUGAACCUGCGGAAGGAUCAUUAUUGAAAUAAACCUGAUGAGUUCUGCUGGUUCUCUCUAGGGAGCAUGUGCACACUUGUCAUCUUUAUAUUUCCACCUGUGCACCUUUUGUAGACCUUGAAUAGUCCUUCUGACUGAUCUAGUCAGGUUUGAGGAAUUGAUCUUUAUAAAGGUCUUUCCUUGUAUUUUCAGGCCUAUGUUUCUUCAUAUACUCUUAAUUUGUAUGUUUGUGGAAUGUAUCAGGCCUUUUGUGCCUAUAAUCUAUACAACUUUCAGCAACGGAUCUCUUGGCUCUCGCAUCGAUGAAGAACGCAGCGAAAUGCGAUAAGUAAUGUGAAUUGCAGAAUUCAGUGAAUCAUCGAAUCUUUGAACGCACCUUGCGCUCCUUGGUAUUCCGAGGAGUAUGCCUGUUUGAGUGUCAUUAAUAUAUCAACCCUCUUCAGCUUUGUUGAGUGUUGGAUGUGGGGGGGUGUUUUUGUUUGCUGGCUUUUUGAGGUCGGCUCCCCUAAAAUGCAUUAGCAGAACAAUUUGUUGACUUCGUUCAUUGGUGUGAUAACUUAUCUACGCUAUUGACGGGUAAAUUCAAAGUUCAGCUUCUAACGGUUCAUUAACUUGAACAAUUUUUAUUUAAUGUGACCUCAAAU